UGCAGUAUAGAGUAAUGGUUAACUCAUUGGGCUCAUGUCCCAAAGUUGCAAGUUCGAAUCUUGCUACUGCA
rnacentral:tRNA from 1 species